rnacentral:rRNA from 1 species
CCUACGGGUGGCAGCAGUAGGGAAUAUUGCUCAAUGGGGGAAACCCUGAAGCAGCAACGCCGCGUGGAGGAAGAAGGUUUUCGGAUUGUAAACUCCUUUUGUUAGAGAAGAUAAUGACGGUAUCUAACGAAUAAGCACCGUCUAACUCCGUUCCAGCAGCCGCGGUAAUACGGAGGGUGCAAGCGUUACUCGGAGUCACUGGGCGUAAAGAGCGCGUAGGCGGGUUAGCAAGUCAGAUGUGAAAUCCUAUGGCUUAACCAUAGAACUGCAUUUGAAACUGUUAUUCUAGAGUGUGGGUGAGGUAGGUGGAAUUCUUGGUGUAGCGGUGAAAUGCGUAGAGAUCAAGAAGAAUACUCAUUGCGAAGGCGACCUGCUAGAACAUAACUGACGCUGAUGCGCGAAAGCGUGGGGAGCAAACAGGAUUAGAUACCCGGGUAGUC